CAUAUUUAAAGACCAGCAAAUUGAUUGGAAUAUCGGCGUGAACCAGUAUAGGAUAUUUGUUUUCUAUUCUUUGGUUGGUCUGACAACUAGUCACAGCAUUUAGCCCUCCAAUCACUGCGAUCAACUCUGAGAGACCUGACAGACACUCCUCAGGUCAGUACUUAUCUGUGGUCAUUGUCCUCCUUUGCUGCCCAAAUACGUCUUGCAUGUAGA